GCAGUUCCUUGGCAGUGAAAAAAGUCUGUGUGGACCCACCACUUGGGGCUGAGUUUGGAAGAACAGUGAUGCUACGGAAAAAAUGUCUGAAGCAAUUAUUGAAGCACUACCCCGUGCUUGUCCUCCUUGCAGAACCAGGAAGCUAUGGUAGUGAUGGAAGUGGAAACAGCAGAAGUAUUCUAUGCUGCACCCUGAAUGCAGUAUUGACGGAGUAAGGUUAAAAUCUGCUCACCUGAAAUCCAAGGCUGCAUUUUUCCCUCUUCACUCCUCUCAGGAUCUUGAACUCAACAUCCUCAUAUCUACCUCAUGAAAAUAAAUUGUGUAAACAAAUAAUAAUAAUAAAGAUUCAAUGUGAGUUUAUGGAAAGUUGAUUGCACUAAACUAGCUGUACAUGAUUUUACUGAAAUGCCAAGUAUUACAAAUUUCUUUGUAUUUUAUUCCUACAAUGAUUAAUUUUUUUUCUGAACCAUUGAAAUUAAUACCAUACAAAGUUUUUAUUAAGAAUAUGGAAUGGUAUGGAUGAAAAAUGGUGCAUAUUAAUUAGAUUGAAUGUGGGUUAGAUGGUGUAUCUCAAAACAGAGUGAGGGAAUUGCCACUAACUAGUUGUGUUUAUGGGGCUGUUUUUGGUUUUGCUAGUUUUCUCACAAAUCUCACUAAAUUUUCACUGAUAAUAGUGAACACUUCUAAAAUGUAAGUAAAUGCUUAGUAAAGAAGAGGAUACAGCACUCAUAAGUAUUAUUUAUUUUUUAUUGACUCAUAAAAAUAUUAGUCUUUUACCUUGACUAAGUGUAUGAUCCCAAGAGUACAGCUGAGACCUGGGAGAGCUGAAAGUUGGAACAGUGGAUAUUCAGUGAAGAUGUCAUGGAAGAGUCACUCCCUGGAAGGGACAGGUUUGGUUUGAAAAAAGUGGACCUAGGAAGGAAAGCAAGCAAUGGACAUAUUUAUGGUUAUAUUUGUUUAAUGGUUUUAUGUGGCAAAACACUUAGUCUGGUUUUCUGAUUGCUAUCUCUGGCUUGUUUUCCUGUGGUGCCAGCCAAAGACGUUUCAACACUAAAGUUUUAAUUAGCCUCCACUUCU